rnacentral:rRNA from 1 species
AACGAACGCUGGCGGCAUGCCUAACACAUGCAAGUCGAACGAGACCUUCGGGUCUAGUGGCGCACGGGUGCGUAACGCGUGGGAACCUGCCCUUAGGUUCGGAAUAACUCCCCGAAAGGGGUGCUAAUACCGGAUAAUGUCUUCGGACCAAAGAUUUAUCGCCUUUGGUUGGGCCCGCGUUGGAUUAGCUAGUUGGUAGGGUAAAAGCCUACCAAGGCGACGAUCCAUAGCUGGUCUGAGAGGAUGAUCAGCCACACUGGGACUGAGACACGGCCCAGAAUCCUACGGGAGGGAGCAGUGGGGAAUAUUGGACCAUGGGCGAAAGCAUGAUCCAGCAAUGCCGCGUGAGUGAUGAAGGCCUUAGGGUUGUAAAGCUCUUUUACCCGGGAUGAUAAUGACAGUACCGGGAGAAUAAGCUCCGGCUAACUCCGUG